GACGAACGCUGGCGGCGUGCUUAACACAUGCAAGUCGAACGGAAAGGCCCUGCUUUUGUGGGGUGCUCGAGUGGCGAACGGGUGAGUAACACGUGAGUAACCUGCCCUUGACUUUGGGAUAACUUCAGGAAACUGGGGCUAAUACCGGAUAGGAGCUCCUGCUGCAUGGUGUGGGUUGGAAAGUUUCGGCGGUUGGGGAUGGACUCGCGGCUUAUCAGCUUGUUGGUGGGGUAGUGGCUUACCAAGGCUUUGACGGGUAGCCGGCCUGAGAGGGUGACCGGCGACAUUGGGACUGAGAUACGGCCCAGACUCCUACGGGAGGCAGCAGUGGGGAAUAUUGCACGAUGGGCGGAAGCCUGAUGCAGCAACGCCGCGUGCGGGAUGACGGCCUUCGGGUUGUAAACCGCUUUCGCCUGUGACGAAGCGUGAGUGACGGUAAUGGGUAAAGAAGCACCGGCUAACUACGUG
rnacentral:rRNA from 1 species